GACACCCCGGUCGACGUCGGUCGCACCCCGUGUGCAAAGGGAAUCCGGUCCAAAUCCGGAGCUGACGCGCAGCGGUAGGGGUGACGGCCGGGGCGGACACGCCACUGGGCUCAUGGUGCCCGGGAAGGUGCCCCGGUCGGACGAUCCCGAGCCCGAAGACCUGCCGACGUCGUUGGUGAGGG
rnacentral:ncRNA from 2 species